AGCAAUCGUUACUAUGUAAACAAGUUCCUUCAAGCUGAACCUCUGACAAGCAAAACGAGGAAACCAUGUCCCUACCUAGUGAACUAAUUUAAGUCAGUUAUAACAUUAGCUGGGUUUUUUUCUUGUCUUUUUUUUUAUUAAUAGGAUAGAAUAGUACUUUAAUCAUCCCCAAAAGGAAAUUAUUCAGUCAUCGCAGCAGAAAGCUACAGAGAAGAGUUCAUUGAUGUUUCUGUAAACAUCAAGAUGCAACACUCCCAGUUUUCUCUUUGAUGUCAGUCGUGACUUUUCAGAAUAAACGCUCUCUGCAGAAGAUCAGCGUCUAUGAUCCAGGCAUUUACAGCAAGCUCCUUGGUGUUUCUUCUUCUGCAUUCGUCGGCGUUCAAUACGGUUUGCUUCCAAUGGCUGAAAGCAUUUCCCUCCUCUCUGCUGCAGUUGGCAUUACAGGGACCAGCAUUCUGAUUUCGAGGUAGCCUGAGGAAACAUGCUGCUCAGUGUCAGGAACAACAACUUACUCAGAACUCCACUCGGUUCUGGCUAGACGUUGAAACUACAAGGCCAGGGACCACCUGCAAUACCUCCAUGGACCACAAGGUGUCAGCUGGUCACCGGAUGAGAAAAUCAUGCACCUUUGCAGCUUUGGCCUCAACUCACAAAUUUUAAAUAAACAAUGUUUCAUUUAUAAAUGUAAUAAAAUCGUUAAAUAAUUAUAACAUAACGUGCUGACCUAGCAGUUAACUGGACAAUAAAUACCUUAGCCAUG